rnacentral:rRNA from 1 species
UACGUAGGCAGCGAGCGUUGUUCGGAGUUACUGGGCGUAAAGGGUGUGUAGGCGGUCUUCUAAGUUUGGUGUGAAAUCUCCCGGCUCAACUGGGAGGGUGCGCCGAAAACUGGGAGGCUAGAGUGCGGGAUGGGAGAGUGGAAUUCCUGGUGGUAGCGGUGAAAUGACGUAGAUAUCAGGAGGAACACCUGUGGUGUAGACGGCUCUCUGGACCGCAACUGACGCUGAGACACGAAAGCGUGGGUAGCAAACAGG